rnacentral:misc_RNA from 1 species
UCUCCGUAGGUGAACCUGCGGAGGGAUCACUACAGGCUUGCAAAAGCUCUGAAACCACUGUUUAUCUACCUGAAUCUGCUUCGGCGGGCGGCCCCAGGGCGGGGUCGUAGCCGCAAGGCGCCCGCCGAAGACCCCUAAACGCUGUCUUCUUGAGAAUCUGUGAGUAUCAUUUUUAACAUAAAACAACUUUCAACAACGGAUCUCUUGGCUCUG